UCAUCAAGCCUGGAUGCGUUAACACAGACCCAAUCUUCCCUAACAACAAGCUCACAGGGACAGACGUUGGUUAUCCAGGAGGUUUAUGGUUUGAUCCCUUGGGUUGGGGUUCGGGUUCACCUGCAAAGAUAAAGGAGUUGAGGACAAAGGAGAUUAAGAACGGUAGACUUGCUAUGUUAGCCGUUAUGGGUGCAUGGUUCCAACACAUUUACACUGGAACAGGCCCUAUUGACAACCUCUUUGCUCACCUGGCUGAUCCUGGUCAUGCCACUAUUUUUGCUGUAAGUACAACCUCAUUUUACUACUCCUUAUGUUUCAGUUUAUUUGUCUUACUUUCCUUUUUAGUCUAUUUAAAAAGAAUGUCUCUUUGUCGAAAGUCUUUUUUAAUGUUUUAAAUGACGUGUCAAGUGAAAACUAAACAAACAAAUUGAAACGGGGGAGUAUGUGUCGUUUGUUUGGUUUUAAAGAAAACUCAAACCAGAGAAAUUGUUGUUUUAGACUUAUAUGGAGAAACUAUAUUUUCAAACAUUGGAAUCAAAUGGUCUUAAAUGCAGCAUGGAAAACUAUACUUUUACACUCUGUUUUUGUUAACUAAUAGCUCAUUCUUUUGAAAAAACUCUGGACUUGCUACACUCAUAUCAUUUACUCCAUUUGUCCCAAUUUAUGUGGCAC
rnacentral:lncRNA from 1 species